CCAAUGUGGACACCCUGGGAGGUUGGCAUAGGGAAGCAUAAGGCUCUGCCUCAUGACGUGCAAUCCUUUUCCACGACACUGGAGAUAAGCCUGUCCCUUGAGUUUGUACCUACAUAUUCCUAUGGCUUCUCAGAGUCCUACAGAUAAUGACUGAGGAGACAAAUCAUUCAGGAAACAUAA
ensembl:snoRNA SNORA73 Small nucleolar RNA SNORA73 family